rnacentral:rRNA from 1 species
GAUGAACGCUGGCGGCGUGCCUAAUACAUGCAAGUCGAGCGAACAGACGAGGAGCUUGCUCCUCUGACGUUAGCGGCGGACGGGUGAGUAACACGUGGAUAACCUACCUAUAAGACUGGGAUAACUUCGGGAAACCGGAGCUAAUACCGGAUAAUAUAUUGAACCGCAUGGUUCAAUAGUGAAAGACGGUUUUGCUGUCACUUAUAGAUGGAUCCGCGCCGCAUUAGCUAGUUGGUAAGGUAACGGCUUACCAAGGCAACGAUGCGUAGCCGACCUGAGAGGGUGAUCGGCCACACUGGAACGUGGACACGGUCCAGACUCCUACGGGAGGCAGCAGUAGGGAAUCUUCCGCAAUGGGCGAAAGCCUGACGGAGCAACGCCGCGUGAGUGAUGAAGGUCUUCGGAUCGUAAAACUCUGUUAUUAGGGAAGAACAAAUGUGUAAGUAACUAUGCACGUCGUGACGGUACCUAAUCAGAAAGCCACGGCUAACUACGUG